ensembl:lncRNA
AUGGUGGGGACAGAAGAGAGGUGGUGGGGACAGAAGAGAGGUGGUGGGAUGGGAGAGAGGUGGCGGAGACGGGAGAGAGGUGGUGGGGACGGGAGAGAGGUGGUGGGUCGGGAGAGAGGUGGUGGGACGGGAGAGAGGUGGCGGGGACGGGAGAGAGGUGGUGGGACGGGAGAGAGGUGGUGGGACGGGAGAGAGGUGGUGGGACGGGAGAGAGGUGGUGGGACGGGAGAGAGGUGGUGGGGAUGGAAGGAGGGUGUUUAAAUCAUUAUGUUAAUACACUCUAUAAUACUCAGGUAAUAAUGCUCACCUCUACCCUCGUGGCGUUAGACUGCAUGGUUGGUCAUGGAUCUAUUGUCUGUAGUGUUAGAUUGGAUGGUUGGUCAUGGAUCUAUUGACUGUAUUGUUAGAUUGGAUGGUUGGUCAUGGAUCUAUUGUCUGUAGUGUUAGAUUGGAUGGUU